UCUGCAGAGGCCGUAUCACUGUCAAUGCUGCACGGCCAAUGCAGAAGUCGGAUUGACCAGGCAGGGCCUUUAAAGACGGGGCAUUCAGAUCAAAAAGAUGAGACGUGCAGUUGAGACCGUUUCCACGGUUAUGGUGCCUCUUUAAAAUGACGUGAUGAAACAAAGUUGCCACUUGCUGUAGUCAAGUGUUAUAGCAAACGAGUGUCCUGAAAUAAAUGCAACAGAAACUGGGCACACUUUGUGACUUCUCAUAUAAAUAUAAGCAAGCUAGGCUAGCUGUGUGCAGCAAAAUAGUUAGCUAGCUGCUUGGCUAAAACAGAAUGUCAGCGCAUUGUUCUCUGAUUGGCUAAACAGUUCUGUCUCGUUGCACGUCUUUAGCUAAAAACAUGUUGAAUCUUGGAAACUCCAGCACCCAACGUGAGAUGUUCUAAAACUAAAACCAAACUGCUCUAAAACUGUUCUAAAACCGUUCAAAUCAAACAAACAUUGUUGUAAAACUCCUUAAAGGGAUAUUUCACUGCUGCUCUAUUUCGCUGGAUAUGUUCAUUCAUAUGUUCUUAAAAUAUGCUGUGUCAUAAAACUAGAGAAUUUCUUCACUACACGCAYAUAGAAGCGUUUCUGCAUCACAGCGGUAGAAACGGGCCAUCUACAUUGCCUGGUUUUAAGCAAACCACAAUAUCCUAAAUUCAUAGCGAUUUCAGGACAUAGUACCGCCCCGGUGAAGGUGGAUCCAGUUGAUGUGGAGAAAUAUCAAAAUGUCUGUAUUUGUAGCCAGCACUUUCAGCAAGAGGAUUUUCGAAACGGAACUGUAAUCUCAAUUGAUGGGGUUGCCAGGUCGAACGUUGUAAAGUGAUGCUAUUCCAUCAAUUUUCCUAUUCACUUCAAAGAGGAGGGAUCUGAUCAGCCAACAGAAAAUAAGUAUAGCUGAGACUAACCCUGCUGCUGAUGACGACCUUGACACCAGCUUCAGUAGUACAGAGCCUGUAGACCCAUUGGAUGAAAGCCUUCAGCCGAGAACAAGCUCAAGCUCAACAUCAUCUGACUCGGAAACAAUCCAGCACAGCCAAAGACUUGCAGUACAAACAAAUGUUCUGCAAGAGCUCGAAGCAGUUGGUGGUGAAAAAGUGUACGAGCCCAGAACCCACCACUUCAGCGAGAGUCUUGUCCACCUAGCUGUGGAGUGCAGAAAGGACCAGAUGGUUGCCUACAAGGAGCCAGAGUCACAGCUCCCUAAACCUAAAAUCCUUGCCAACAUCGCCAUUGCGCCAAAGUCUUCUAAACCAGCUGCUAUUAACCAACAUAAGACAAGGUUCACAGGCUGAACCAUUCUGAAACCUGCUUUGAACAAACAACUAACACAACAUCCAUAUACAGUUAGACUUACUGUAUGUUGUAGUACAAUAUAGAAUGCCUAGUAUGCCUAGUAUUCACAACUGCAUUGUGGUAUAGAUAUUGCUAACUCUUGUACAUAUGUAUAAUGGUGUUUUAUAUAAUCAAUUUUUUAUGUUUACUGACAAGUGACUAAAUUAUACCAGCUGCAUCAGAAACCAGUAAAGAGUUGAUUUCAACGUCUGGAUCAAUUUAUUGCGAUAUUCACAAAAUGUAUUUGGAUAAACUAGCUACAAUCUUACUGCUAAAACAAAUGUUGCAGGGUAUCACUUAAACUUUCAUUUGUUGGUAAGUAAACUUGUUUCAAUAAAACAGUUGAUUAGUCUGUCGAUAUAGCAAAGAAGUAGACAUGGCUUGUAUUCAAGACAAAGUAUUUGCUCUGGAGACUGAGGUGAGUUUACACAGUAGUAUGCAGGAACAGUUACGGCAAUGUAUGACAUAUAUACAGUAGCGGAAAAAUAUACUACUAACGCCUAUAAUAAAUACUACAGUUCUGCAAAGGGAAUACUGAUAUUUGGUGUUUUUUAGUGGUGCAGUGAGUCAUUUUUAUUGCGGUUAUUGGACCUUUCACAUCUUCCCCUGAGUCAUCAACUUCUUUGUAUCCAAGUACUGUACUGUACUGUCUGAGAGAAAGACUGGUACCAAUUAUAUGCAUAUCCU